rnacentral:rRNA from 1 species
GGGAUUAGCUAGUANGCGGGGUAAUGGCCCACCUAGGCGACGAUCCCUAGCUGGUCUGAGAGGAUGACCAGCCACACUGGAACUGAGACACGGUCCAGACUCCUACGGGAGGCAGCANUGGGGAAUAUUGCACAAUGGGCGCAAGCCUGAUGCAGCCAUGCCNCGUGUAUGAAGAAGGCCUUCGGGUUGUAAAGUACUUUCAGCGGGGAGGAAGGCGAUGCGGUUAAUAACCGCGUCGAUUGNCNUUACCCGCAGAAGAAGCACCGGCUAACUCCGUGCCANCUGCCGCGNUAAUACGGAGGGUGCAAGCGUUAAUCGGAAUUACUGGGCGUAAAGCGCACGCNNGCGNUCUGUUAAGUCAGAUGUGAAAUCCCCGGGNUUAACCUGGGAACUGCAUUUGCAACUGGCAGGCUU